GAAGCCAACAGAAGGAGCAGGAAAGUAAUCAUGUCAAACUGAGCUCUUGUCUUUUGUUUCCAAUCAUCUUGCAUUUACAGUUUCCCCAUCUCAAUGGAUGACUAGUCCAUUCUUCUAGUUAUUCAGGCAAAAUCCCUGCAGUCAACAUGAUCUCCUCUCUUAAGUUCCACAUCCAACCUACCAGUAAAUUCUGUCCGCUGUCACUCUGAAACAUAUUCAGAACCCAACCAUUUCCUACCACCUCCACUGCUACCACCUUCACCUGAGCCAUCAAAGCUUUUGCCUGCAUUACUGCAGUAGCCUCCCAAAUACUCUCUCCACUUUACCUUUCCUCCACCAAAUUCUGCUCCCAAUAUCACAGCCAAGUUUUCUGUAAAACACAUAAAUGAAAUCAUUCCUUGCUCAGAACCCUUCAAUGAUUCUGCAUUGCACUCAGUAAAGACCACAACCCUUUAAAUGAGCUCCAAGGCCCUAAAUGAGCUUAUUCCCUGUUAUCUCUCUGACCUCACUUCCCACUCCUCUCCACUUUGUUCAACCUCUGAACCUUUCCACAUUUCAGCCAUUCUUUCUAUCCCUAGAAUGUGCCAAGUACACUCUCACUUUUGGAUCAUUGCAGGCUCUUCCAUGUGCCUGGAGGGCAUUAUCCACAGAUUAUCCUUGCCUCCUUCAGAGCUUUGUUCAAAUGCCACCACCUCGUAAGACCUCCUGUGGACACCCAAUACCUCAGAAAUCCUCCCUCACCUUAUUCUACUUUGUCAUUUUUCAUGGCACUUUUCACCUUCUAUCAUCCUGUAUAAUGAUUUGUUAUAUCCAUUGUUUAUCAUCUCUCCCUGCUGGAAUGUUUGUUCUAUGAGAGCAGAGCUCUGCAUUUGAUUCAUGGAUGUAUCCUGAGCACCUAGAAGAGUACAGCACUCAGUAAACAUUUGUUGGAUUAAGGAGUGUAAUAUCGUGAAGAUAGUAUCUGCAAGACUUAGUUUGUGCUCCACUUGGCCUUGGAAGGAGGUGAAGAAAUGGCACAAUACAGUUAAUCUUUAAAUAAUAAAAUAUCAUAUAUUCUCCCCUCUCUAUAAUUUUCUCUCUUCCAAAAUGGACAGGUUGGCUAAGGAAUGAUAAGCAGGAUUAUUGUGCAGAUUAAUAAUUCAUUUACUAUUUUACUAUAUAGGGAUAUUUAGAAUAAGGUAUAUUAUUUAAUUAGUACAUUAAAUUUUAUUAUAUCUACACCAUAUAUAUUAUAUAUGUGUGUGGGUAUAUAUAUAUAUAUAUUAUACAUAUGGUAUGGCUCAUUAGACUAGUGACAAAUAGGGAUUAAAAACAAGGGUCUGAAAGACUCAGAUAAGAGGGAAUGUGAAAGCAUCUUAAAGGUAGUUGCCAUGUUUUAUACUGCUAUACUGUUAUCUGCAUCAAACACAGGGCAACAUACAUAGUAAGAGUUUGGAAGUUAUUUGUUGAUAGAUUAAACAAGAGACGAAUUACUUGUAGUUUAAAUACCAGCUAUACUGUAGACUUGGCUUGAAGGCCAGAUGUGCUCAGAGAGACCCUAAAUCAUUAAUCUAGAAAACUGCAGAAGACUAGCUUUAUUAGAGCAUAAGUAUCUUUUUCUUUUUUUAUUAGUCACAGCAAUUCUUUCUAGAGCAUAGCUUGCAAAGGGCAUUAUGUUAAUCAAAGUCCUGGAAGAAAACAUAUUGAAACUUGCUAAUUGAAGAGAGUUUAAUAAAAAGGAUUAAUUUGAAGGUGUGGAUAGGGUUUACAGGAAGAGAUACAGCAAGUGAUAGUGCAGUCUCCCAGGGGAGCUAUCCCCACACUUUCCUCCACCACACCCCCACCCCCAGCCUGGGCCUAAAGGAUCUGAGGAUGGAGCAGUUACUGAAACCUGGAGAAAAUAAUUCUAUGGUGAAGGCCACUUGUCAGGAGUUGCAGCAAAUUGCCUGAAGAUAUAAAUACCCUGACUAAAUCCAACUGGAAGCCAGGGGCAAGAGAACCCAUGGAAGUAGUCCAUGGAGGUCCACCUCCCAGGGCACAGGACAGCCAGGAGAAGAAAGAAGGAGCUAAAAAAUUGGAGCUAAAUUUCCAAGUAUCCCUGCCAUUAGAAUCCAUCAGUGAGAGUCUCUUGCAUGGGAUUCUGAAGGUAAAAGAGAAACAAAACACAAAACUAUUGUUUCUCCAAGUUGAGC